rnacentral:lncRNA from 1 species
UUGUUUUAAUUCAUCAAUAAUAAAAUUAAAUAUGAUGUUUAAAACAAUAACCAAAAGGUAAUCAGACAAAAAUUUAUUUGCUAUUCUCGCAUUAGGAAUUGUAAACAAAAACAAUCGUCCAAGGCCAUAGAGAAACUACUGCAUUCAUUUCGGCCGGCUGAAUUAGGUUCAGGAUAUUGAUAUAUAAAUCCCUUUUGUACAUUGAUUGCUUGGGUGUUCAUUUGUUUCUGAUAUAUAUGUUUCAGUGUUUGAUUUAUGUUUUAUGUGUCCAAACGAUGAGAGCGUCGCAGUGAAACAAUACCUAAGCUGCCCAAGGUUUGGCCUUGGUUGAGUUUCAGUUUGGUUAGAAGGCAGAAGGCAUAGCGCCUCAGGCCUCUGCCCUCUCCUUAGUUGCAAAAACGAUUGCGACGACUGCUAGUGCUGACUACUGAAAUCUGCUGAAAGGAAGACUGGAGGGCCUUUAGCAGCAGCAGCAGUGGAGCUUGGAAGGCUGCCUUGAGGCUGCCUGGCUGGCCUCUACAACAGAGACGAAGUUUAGAAGUAAUUUGUCAACAAUGUUGUCCAUGCUGCAAGAGGUGGCUGACGAGCACCAACCAGCGUGUGCAGCAGCCGUUCCGUUGUAAACGGUGCGCUGACCGCGGAGCCGGGGGUUGUCGACCGCCGGCUGGCACUCACCACCGUCCACCCCAAGCUGGCCAUCAUAGACUGGCUCGAGAACACCAGCACGCUGAACCAGUUCAUCAGCUCGACGUGCCCCGACUUCGAGCAGCAGUGCGCCGAGACGCGCGAGCUGUUCACUGGGAGCAGAUGAAGCGACAUGGGACUCAGAGCGGCGCCACUGACGUGCAGCUGCAGCUGAUCGGAAUCGACAGGACACGUGUUCGCGGCUCGGCCACCACUCAUCAGCCUGCUGCUCCUGCCGUUCCGUCUGACGGCGCCGAUGACCGGGCUGGCGGCGUCUCUCGACGCGUCCGGCCACACCCGGCUGCAGGCGCUGCGCUCGUCGCUUUGGGUUGUAAAUGCCGUCGAGCAGUGAGGGUUGCCUCGCUGAGUCGUGUGGGCGCUCCUCACUGUAGAGGUCGCUGUGAGCGCUGUGCUCCUCUUCGACCAGAGGAUAGGUGGCGGUAGCGGUCGGUACGCAGCCAGCAGCGUACUGACACGUCAUAGACCGAUUGAAGGUCUUCAGUGCGUUAUGAAUAUGGCGCGGGUAGCUCGAUUCCGGCGGCGGCGUGACACAGUGACCCCGUGACCUCUAGCCGUGUCGGUCCGUGUGCGCGGCCCAUUCGCCCCCGACUUGGGUUGUCGAUGGCGGCUGCCGGCGCCCUUAAAAUCGUACGUGUUUUAGACAAAAAGGGAAGACUUUAGUGAUAGUGAUGUUAUAAGGUAUAAUUUAUUUUUCUAAUGAUUUUAUUGCGUGCUUUGGCUGAGUGUCUUGAUUUAAGUUCGUUUGCUUUCAAAUUUACGAUAAUACAACAGCACAGGGUCAAAA